ensembl:snRNA U1 U1 spliceosomal RNA
AUACUUACCUGGGAGGGGAGAUACCAUGAUCAUGAAGGUGGUUUUCCCAGGGCGAGGCUUAUCCAUUGCACUCCGGAUGUGCUGACCCCUGCGAUUUCCCCAAAUGUGGGAAACUCGACUGCAUAAUUUGUGGUAGUGGGGGACUGCGUUCGCGCUUUCCCCUG